GAGUCGUGCGUGUGUUGUUGUGCGUAGGUCGAGAGCGAGCGAAGGGUGCGUCGCUGCUGUGCGCGCCAGCGAACCGAAGAAGGCUCGAGUGGGGCUGUGUGGCGAGCGAAGGCCACCGGAGUUCCGUCGCCGGAAUUUUGUGCCGGCGAAAGUCAGUGGUCCCAAUUUCAUAAGCGGCUCGUUCUAUUAAGUCAGCGAAAAUUCUCCGUUACAAGACUAGGUGAGCUGGUGCUGCUGCAUGACAUCAAGCAUAUGGGGGCUAGACUGUAGUUUGAAGUUAACUUUUGGUUUGAUC